CCUACGGGUGGCUGCAGUGAGGAAUAUUGGUCAAUGGACGCAAGUCUGAACCAGCAAUGCCGCGUGCAGGAAGACGGCCCUAUGAGUUGUAAACUUCUUUUGUCAGGGAGCAAUUGGGUCCACGCGUGGGCUUAGCGAGAGUACCUGAAGAAAAAGCAUCGGCUAACUCCGUGCCAGCAGCCGCGGUAAUACGGAGGAUGCGAGCGUUAUCCGGAUUUAUUGGGUUUAAAGGGUGCGUAGGCGGAAUAUCAAGUCAGCGGUAAAAAUUCGGGGCUCAACCCCGUCGUGCCGUUGAAACUGAUGUUCUUGAGUGGGCGAGAAGUAUGCGGAAUGCGUGGUGUAGCGGUGAAAUGCAUAGAUAUCACGCAGAACUCCGAUUGCGAAGGCAGCAUACCGGCGCCCAACUGACGCUGAAGCACGAAAGCGUGGGUAUCGAACAGGAUUAGAUACCCCUGUAGUC
rnacentral:rRNA from 1 species